AGGGGGAAGACUCCAUAUCACUUCGAAGAAAUGGAACUCACGUUCUACGCUGACCUCUAUAGAUCAACACUGCAGUGGAGAAAGUCGCUUAGGCCUCUAACAUCCAGGCUAGCAUCUCAAGGCCUAAAAGUAUCGCUGGGGCACACCUUGUACACUGAUAUUCCAGCACCAUGGUACAGAACACAGAGUCACAGAAGCAUCAGAAAUGGAUGUAGUUUUGUCCUCCCUGGGAACCGGUCCUAACCCUUGACCCGCUACAAACACCUGGGAUCCAUCCAACGUGGUCCCAUUCACUCCUUUACCCAGAGGAGCGUAGCUAUCACCCGAAUGCAGCAAUUUGAGUGUUGGGACUUGUGUCUCCUUUUUCUUCCUUUCACUUUUCUUUUCCUUAAUGCUUUUGUUUUGUUUAAAAGUUGUACAUCACUUAAGUACUCACUCUCCUUAUGUUAACCGCGACAGAGUAGCCCGUACAGGCCAAAAUUGGCCAAGAUGAGACCCGGUUAGCUCCCAUGAUUGUAAUCAUUCCCCCCAGCUCCGAUCUCUUCA